rnacentral:misc_RNA from 1 species
UAACAAGCCAGCCUCUCCCCAACCCCGCCUUCAUUCACUAACAAAAAAAACACGGCGCAAAAAGACCCUAGCAAAUAGAAUCCCAGGGUCCAGUGCACACCCACUCUGUGCAUUUGUGUGGGGGAGGGAGCCGAGCCGCCCCUCUAUCCCCUGCCGAUGCUGCACCGCUUCUGGCCGUAGCAGGUCAGGCACCUACCUACGCAGAGGGGGGUCGGAGCAACGCAUGCCCCCACUGAUGCCGGCAGUGAGGCCGCGGACGGCGUUGUGUGGGAGAGAUCUUCGACAGUGGACACGUUUGCGCCACCCAUGUGAUGGGCAGGGUGUCAGCGUGACGCCAGCGUACCUCAGCCGCCCCUCGCUGCCCACUGGUGGGGAGCCUGGGCC